AGCUAGGUCCCACGCAAGAGCAGGUCGCGAACCCCGCCAGGCCCGGAAGGGAGCAACGGUACCGAUUCUUCUCUGUGCCGUGGGGGUGCCUAGCUAUC
rnacentral:SRP_RNA from 1 species